AGAGUUUGAUCAUGGCUCAGAACGAACGCUGGCGGCGUGGAUUAGGCAUGCAAGUCGAACGGGAUCUUGAAGAACUGAAGCUUCGGCCGAGGUUCUUUAAGUGAGAGUGGCGAAAGGGUGAGGAAUACUUGGGUAACUUACCUUGAAGAUUGGGAUAACCUGCCGAAAGGCGGGCUAAUACCAGAUAAGACCACAGUAUCUCCGGAUACAGUGGUAAAACAAAGGCCUCUAUUUAUAAGCUUUUGCUUCGAGAUAGGCCCGAGUCUUAUUAGCUUGUUGGUGAGGUAACGGCCCACCAAGGCUAUGAUGAGUAGCUGGUCUGAGAGGAUGGUCAGCCACACUGGGACUGAGACACUGCCCAGACUCCUACGGGAGGCUGCAGUCGAGAAUCUUUCGCAAUGGGGGAAACCCUGACGAAGCGACGCCGCGUGAGCGAUGAAGGCCUUCGGGUUGUAAAGCUCUGUCACAAGGGACGAAAAGUAAAGGUAUUAAUAAUACCGGUACCUGACGGUACCUUGAGAGGAAGCCCCGGCUAACUCCGUGCCAGCAGCCGCGGUAAUACGGAGGGGGCAAGCGUUGUUCGGAUUUACUGGGUGUAAAGGGUGUGUAGGUGGCAUAGUAAGUGAGAUGUGAAAUCUCCAGGCUUAACCUGGAAACAGCAUUUCAUACUGCUAAGCUAGAGUACCGUAGAGGCAAAUGGAAUUCUCGGUGUAAGGGUGAAAUCUGCAGAUAUCGAGAAGAACACCAGUGGCGAAGGCGAUUUGCUGGGCGGAUACUGACGCUGAAACACGAAAGCUAGGGGAGCGAACGGGAUUAGAUACCCUAGUAGUCC
rnacentral:rRNA from 1 species